rnacentral:lncRNA from 1 species
GUGGUUGUGGUGGCGGCUUCGGCAUGGGUGGUGGAGAGUUCGGCAUGGGUGGUCAGUUUGGCAAUGGUGGUGGUGGUGCUGAUGGCGGAGGGGAUGGGUUCGAUAUUGCGGUGGUACUUCGGCAAAUUAAACCAAGUGAAUGGUGGUGGUGGUGGUGGUGGUGGUGGUGAUGGAGGCGCCGGUGGUGCGAUUGGUUCUUCGGCGAACAAUGUGAAUGGUGGUGGUGGUGAUGAUGAUGAUGAUGAUGGUGGCAGUGCUCAUUCUCUGGUCCAAGUUCAUGAACAUGGUGGUGCUCACUCUCCGGUCCAAG